AGUCAAACCCAGGGCUUCAUGCAUGCUAGACAAGCACUCUACCACUAAGCCACAUUCCCAGCCUUCAGCUAAUUUCUUAAUCCCUUUGGACAUCUUUUUUUUUCCAUCUGCAAAAAUGGAGACAAUACCAAAGUAUCAGGAUUGCUAUAAUAAGUAACACCAGAGGAAAACCAGAGGAAAUCCA